rnacentral:rRNA from 1 species
GAUGAACGCUGGCGGCGUGCCUAAUACAUGCAAGUCGAGCGAACAGACGAGGAGCUUGCUCCUCUGACGUUAGCGGCGGACGGGUGAGUAACACGUGGCUAACCUACCUAUAAGACUGGGAUAACUUCGGGAAACCGGAGCUAAUACCGGAUAAUAUAUUGAACCGCAUGGUUCAAUAGUGAAAGACGGUUUUGCUGUCCCUUAUAGAUGGAUCCGCGCCGCAUUAGCUAGUUGGUAAGGUAACGGCUUACCAAGGCGACGAUGCGUAGCCGACCUGAGAGGGUGAUCGGCCACACUGGAACUGAGACACGGUCCAGACUCCUACGGGAGGCAGCAGUAGGGAAUCUUCCGCAAUGGGCGAAAGCCUGACGGAGCAACGCCGCGUGAGUGAUGAAGGUCUUCGGAUCGUAAAACUCUGUUAUUAGGGAAGAACAAAUGUGUAAGUAACUAUGCACGUCUUGACGGUACCUAAUCAGAAAGCCACGGCUAACUACGUG